rnacentral:tRNA from 1 species
CCCCUCGUAGCUCAAUGGAUAGAGCAAUCCCGUCCUAAGGGAGAAAUGUGGGUUCGAUUCCUGCCGAGGGGA